rnacentral:misc_RNA from 1 species
UGGGAGGGGGGCUUGUCCCCGAUAGCGCUGGGCCAGUCAGUUUAUCGGUAGCUGACCCAAUGCAAUCGGGGGCAAGCGCCCUCCCAC